rnacentral:lncRNA from 1 species
GCAGCCUCAGCGAGAAUCUCCGCCACCUCUAAUGGUUACCAUGGCAACGCUGCCCAGGGAGGAGCAGGGCGGGCCUGAAUUGGAGCUGGGAGGCCUGAGUUUCCAAGGCAGCGCUGCGGUCUGGUUUGCGGUGCCUGAGCCAGCUGUGGGGUGGGGGGGUGAGGCGAAGGGCCAGGGUGCUCAGGGACGACCCAGCUUUCCCGAGGCCCCGGGACCUCUGUCCUCGUUGCUGCCGGGGUGCCCCGGCUGCCUGGCUCUCGUCCUUCACAGCAACUCUGACUCGGGAUGCUCCCGGAGGCCUUCCGAACUGCCCUCGUGCCCAAGAUGCUGCCAGGGAAAGAAUGUGAGAGGAAUGAGUUUACUCAGAUUCAAAUUUGAUCAGGUGUCUCCUCUAUUAGAAACCUUCAAUGGCUCCCUAGUGCCCUCAGGAUAAUAGCCAACCCUUUAUCACUGCUUACAGACUCUUGGCACCUGCUCCCUUCUACUCCCUCGUCUCCUGUCCUGCCAUUUCUCACCUCACCCCCUGGACUCUGUCCAUACCACGAGUCUUAGUGCCCCUGGAGGGGUGCACACUCACCCCCGGGCCUUGGCCUGUGCUAGUUCUCUCUUCCUGGACAUCUCUGUGUACUUACCUGGCCGCCUUCCACUCAUUUCUCUUUUCUUAGCCUAGAUGGUGUGUUCCCUGGGAAGCUCAUGGAAGGAUCCGGAGCCCCUCUUUGCUCCCUGCACACGGUCUUCUCAUCAGGGUACGUAUCAUCCUAGGUUAGAAUUGCCCCUUGACUUGUUGCCUUCUCCCUCCGGGGGGGCACCGCACCUUCGGUGUGUGGCUCGGGUCUGGGCACAGGAGGAGUUGUGGAAUGAAUGAGCGAAUGAAUGAGGCCCCCAUCUGUCCUGGGCCAAGUCUCCUGGGGGAGGUGGUGACAUGGGCAGAGUACGGCGCCCCCAGAGGGCCGGAGGGGAGGCUGGGAAGUGGCCGCUCUGACAGUGUCAGCUCAUCAGGCUUCAGAGAAAAACUCACACGAGAUCCUAGACAGCUGGGUCCCCUACACCAGUGAAGAAACUGGCAACCAUUUAAACAUCGGGCCUUUGGGCAUUGGGUCAGCCAGCUGGGUCUGUCCUCUCCAUGGAGAAUUAUGCGAUGAUUGUGCCAGGAGAUCGUAGCUAUGACGAGGCAGACGCAUGGCAGAAUGUUGGGGUAACGUGAAAAAGCAGACCGUGAAAUCGUGUGUGCCCCGGGAUUGCCUGUGCGCCUGGGCAGUUGAGACCUGGGAGAGGAAAUAAAGAGCCAGUGAACAGUCCA